rnacentral:rRNA from 1 species
AACGCGAAGAACCUUACCAGGUCUUGACAUCCCUCUGACCGGUCUAGAGAUAGACUUUCCCUUCUGGGCAGAGGAGACAGGUGGUGCAUGGUUGUCGUCAGCUCGUGUCGUGAGAUGUUGGGUUAAGUCCCGCAACGAGCGCAACCCUUGACUUUAGUUGCCAGCAUUUCGGAUGGGCACUCUAGAGUGACUGCCGGUGACAAACCGGAGGAAGGCGGGGAUGACGUCAAAUCGUCAUGCCCCUUAUGACCUGGGCUACACACGUACUACAAUGGCCGGUACAGAGGGUCGCGAAGCCGCGAGGUGGAGCCAAUCCCAGAAAGCCGGUCUCAGUUCGGAUUGCAGGCUGCAACUCGCCUGCAUGAAGUCGGAAUUGCUAGUAAUCGCGGAUCAGCAUGCCGCGGUGAAUACGUUCCCGGGCCUUGUACACACCG